rnacentral:rRNA from 1 species
CAAAGGGAGAAGAACAACAGGGAUUGCCUCAGUAACGGCGAGUGAAGCGGCAACAGCUCAAAUUUGAAAGCUGGCUCCUCCGGGGCCCGCGUUGUAAUUUGUAGAGGAUGCUUCGGGUGCGGUGCCGGUCUAAGUUCUUUGGAACAGGACGUCACAGAGGGUGAGAAUCCCGUAUGUGACCGGUGGCCUGCGCCCGUGUGAAGCUCCUUCGACGAGUCGAGUUGUUUGGGAAUGCAGCUCUAAAUGGGUGGUGUACUUCAUCUAAAGCUAAAUAUUGGCCAGAGACCGAUAGCGCACAAGUAGAGUGAUCGAAAGAUGAAAAGCACUUUGGAAAGAGAGUUAAACAGUACGUGAAAUUGUUGAAAGGGAAGCGCUUGCAAUCAGACUUGCGCGGCGUCGAUCAGCUUGGGUUCUCCCUGGUGCACUCGGCGCCGCUCAGGCCAGCAUCAGUUCUGGCGGUUGGAUAAAGGCCUAGGGAACGUGGAUCGCCUCGGCGAUCGUUAUAGCCCUAGGUGCAAUGCAGCCUGCCGGGACUGAGGACCGCGCUUCGGCUAGGAUGCUGGCGUAAUGGUUGCAAGCGACCCGUCUUGAAACACGGACCAAGGAGUCUAACAUUUAUGCGAGUGUUUGGGUGUCAAACCCAUACGCGUAAUGAAAGUGAACGGAGGUGAGAACCCUUAAGGGCGCAUCAUCGACCGAUCCUGAUGUCUUCGGAUGGAUUUGAGUAAGAGCAUAACUGUUGGGACCCGAAAGAUGGUGAACUAUACUUGAAUAGGGUGAAGCCAGAGGAAACUCUGGUGGAGGCUCGCAGCGGUUCUGACGUGCAAAUCGAUCGUCAAAUUUGGGUAUAGGGGCGAAAGACUAAUCGAUCAUUUCUGAU